GUGGGGAAUUUUGCGCAAUGGGCGAAAGCCUGACGCAGCGACGCCGCGUGGAGGAUGAAGGCCCUUGGGUCGUAAACUCCUGUCGGGUGGGAAGAACGCUCCAGAGUCAAUAGCUCUGGAGACUGACUGUACCACCGGAGGAAGCCCCGGCUAACUCCGUGCCAGCAGCCGCGGUAAUACGGAGGGGGCAAGCGUUGUUCGGAAUUAUUGGGCGUAAAGGGCGCGUAGGCGGCCUGUCAAGUCGGACGUGAAAUCCCUCGGCUCAACCGAGGAAUUGCGUUCGAUACUGAUGGGCUAGAGUCCGGGAGGGGAUGGUGGAAUUCCCAGUGUAGCGGUGAAAUGCGUAGAUAUUGGGAAGAACACCGGUGGCGAAGGCGGCCAUCUGGACCGGUACUGACGCUGAGGCGCGAAAGCUAGGGGAGCGAAUGGGAUUAGAUACCCUAGUAGUCC
rnacentral:rRNA from 1 species